GAUGAAGAACGCAGCGAAAUGCGAUAAGUAAUGUGAAUUGCAGAAUUCAGUGAAUCAUCGAAUCUUUGAACGCACCUUGCGCCCUUUGGCCAUUCCGAAGGGCAUGCCUGUUUGAGUAUCAUGAACACCUCAACUCUCAUGGCUCGCCAUGAUGAGCUUGGACUUUGGGGGUCUUGCUGGCCUGUGGUCGGCUCCUCUCAAAUGGAUCAGCUUGCCAGUGGUUGGUGGCAUCACAGGUGUGAUAACUAUCUGCGCUUGUGGUUUUCCAUCAGAUAACCUUCAGUGAUGGAGGUUCGCUGGAGCUCAUAAACGUCUCCCCUAAGCGGGGACAGCCCUUUGAAUGUUUGAUCUCAAAUCAGGUAGGACUACCCGCUGAACUUAAGCAUAUCAAUAAGCGGAGGA
rnacentral:misc_RNA from 1 species